CAGAGGUUGAGACUUGUCUAAAGUAACAUGACCAGUAAGUGCUUGAAUUAAUGCAGGUAGGUAGUGAUGGGUAUGUUCUAAUCUGCCAAGGGCUUUUCCUUGCUGUCAUCUGGCUUGAGUUCUAAGGAUAUAAAUUCACAUAGCCAAAAUGGUAGGGAACCAGAAAGGUAAUGAGUAGAUGGACUUUAGGACUACACUAGGGAAAUGGUGCUGCUGUUCUUUUUAAUUUCUUCCUUUUUGUUCUUUUUGUUUGGUUUCUAACCUGUUAGUAAUGAUAAGCAGAUACCGUCUUUGGUUGUUUCUGUUAGAUGAAUGAAGCUUUUGUUUUAACUGUAGAUUAUCCCUGAGGAACUAGGGAAAUGGGAAAUCUGGAGAGAAGUCUGUUGGGAUUCUCACAGGGAAUAGCUAUUAGAUCAACUAAGCAAAUGAAAAAGUUAAUAGUAUAUGGAUAAACCACAUGUGUGUAAUUGGAACUUUUUAGGAUUCUAAGAUUUUUAAAAUCUUGUUUAAAAACUGUAUUAUCACCUUAAUAUAAAAAUCUUAGCGCUUGAGCGUUACUUACCCAACUGUGGUUUUCUUUAGAUGAGGAAACUGAGGUCCAGAGAAGUUGAAGCUUUCCCAAGGUCACACAGCAGAGCUGGAACUAGAGCUUGCAUUUCCUGACUUCCAGAUUAGUGUUAUUUUUACUUCAAACUAUUACUUCUUGGUGAGUUAUUGUGGGAAAAAUCCUGUAUAUUGAAGAUGUCUCUACACAGUAUCGUUUCCUGUUUAAAUUACAGAUAACUUGAAGAGUUUUCAGAAAAAAAGAAAUUGGGACUUUUUUGGUUAAAUCAUGCCAUCUGAACAGAAACAGUUAUUUUGUGAUGAAAAACAAACUACUUUAAAAAAAGAUUAUGAUGUGAAAAAUGAGAUAGUUGAUAGGUUGGCCCCUAAACCAAAAAUUUCAGAAAGUAUUCAUUAUGAACUAAAAAAUGUGAAAAUUGAUUUGCCAAAAAUAAAUAUUCCAAAUGAAGUCCUAUUGAAACAUGAAGUUGACAAAUACAGAAAAUUAUUUCAGAGUAAACAGCAGACUGCAAGAAAAUCUAUCAGUAUAAAGACUGUAAGCUGUGUAGAGGAGUGUACAUUGCUUCAUAAGUCUGAGAGAGCUGAAGAAGAGGGUAUAAAAAUGUCUGCAAAAAUACUCAAUUUCAGCUGUUUAAAAUGCCGAGACAACACUCGAUAUAGCCCAAAUGAUUUGCAGAAACACUUUCAAAUGUGGCACCAUGGCGAAUUACCUUCAUAUCCUUGUGAAAUGUGCAACUUUUCAGCAAAUGACUUUCAGGUAUUUAAACAACACAGACGAACCCAUAGAAGCACUUUAGUAAAAUGUGAGAUUUGUAACAAUGAGAGUGUAUAUACUUUACUGAACUUGACAAAGCAUUUCACAUCCACACAUUGUGUUAAUGGUAAUUUUCAAUGUGAAAAGUGUAAGUUCUCCACCCAGGAUGUUGGCACAUUUGUUCAGCACAUUCAUAGACAUAAUGAAAUUCAUUAUAAAUGUGGUAAAUGUCAUCAUGUAUGUUUUACCAAAGGAGAGCUUCAGAAGCACCUUCAUAUUCAUUCUGGUACUUUUCCCUUCACUUGUCAAUAUUGUAGCUAUGGUGCCACCAGGAGAGAACACCUUGUAAGACAUGUUAUAACUUUGCACAAAGAACAUUUAUAUGCAAAAGAAAAACUGGAAAAAGACAAAUAUGAAAAAAGAAUGGCAAAGACUUCUGCAGGACUUAAGCUAAUACUGAAAAGAUAUAAAAUAGGUGCAUCAAGGAAGACAUUCUGGAAACGUAAGAAAAUUAACAGUGGAAGUGACAGAAGUAUAGAAAAGAACACUCAAGUGCUUAAGAAAAUGAACAAAACACAGACUAAAUCUGAAGACCAGAGCCAUGUUGUUCAAGAGCAUUUAAGUGAAGAAAAGGAUGAAAGACUACACUGUGAGAAUAAUGAUAAAGCCCCUGAAUCAGAGUCAGAGAAGCCAACUCCUCUGUCCACUGGGCAAGGUAAUAGAGCUGAAGAGGGACCAAACGCUAGUUCAGGUUUCAUGAAGACUGCUGUACUAGGACCUACACCGAAAACUGUAAUGCUGAAAAAUAAUAAAAUAGCAGUUCCCCCUAACUAUAGUGCUAAGUUCAUGGGCUUCAAGAUGAUGGAUGGAAAACAGCAUAUUGUAUUAAAAUUGGUGCCUAUCAAACAAAAUGUAUGUUCACCAGACUCACACUCAGGUGCUGCAAAGGACAGUACUGCUAAUUUGCAGGCGCAGACUUUGGACACUAAUGGAUUUUUAACAGGAGUAACAACUGAGUUAAAUGACACAGUUUAUAUGAAAGCAACUACUCCAUUUUCAUGUUCAUCUUCUAUACUUUCAGGGAAAGCAAGUUCAGAAAAAGAAAUGACUUUGAUAUCUCAAAGGAAUAAUAUGCUUCAAACAGUGGAUUAUGAGAAAAGUGUAUCUUCUUUGUCAGCAACAUCAGAAUUGGUUACAGCAUCAGUGAAUUUGACCACAAAAUUUGAAACAAGAGAUAAUGUUGACUUCUGGGGAAAUCAUCUCACUCAGAGUCACCCCGAGGUAUUAGGUACCACCAUUAAAAGUCCAGAUAAAGUCAACUGUGUUGCCAAACCAAAUACAUACAACAGUGGAGAUAUGCAUAAUUAUUGCAUUAAUUAUGGCAACUCUGAGUUACCUGUUGAAUCCUCCAACCAAGGAUCAUUACCUUUUCAUAAUUACUCAAAAGUGAAUAAUUCUAAUAAACGUCGUAGGUUUUCAGGAACAGCAGUGUGUGAAAACCCUCAAAGAGAAUCUUCAUCCAGCAAAACAGUUGUCCAACAACCAAUUAGUGAAUCAUUUUUAUCACUAGUGAGGCAGGAGAGCUCAAAACCAGAUAGUCUGUUAGCAUCUAUUAGCCUUUCAAAUGAUAAAGAUGGGACUUUAAAAGCAAAAUCUGAAAUUGAAGAACAGUAUGUUUUAGAAAAAGGACAAAACAUUGAUGGACAAAACCUGUACAGUAAUGAAAAUCAAAAUUUAGAGUGUGCGACUGAAAAAUCUAAAUGGGAAGACUUUUCUAAUGUCGAUUCACCUAUGAUGCCUAGAAUCACAUCUGUUUUCUCUCUCCAGAGCCAACAGGCAUCAGAAUUUCUGCCACCUGAAGUAAACCAAUUGCUUCAGGAUGUAUUGAAAAUAAAACCUGAUGUAAAACAAGAUUCUAGUAACACUCCAAAUAAAGGCCUGCCACUUCAUUGUGACCAGUCAUUUCAAAAACAGGACGGAGAAAGCAAAAUUGUUGAGUCUUCGAAAGAUUUCAAAGUGCAAGGCAUCUUCCCGGUUCCACCUGGCAGUGUGGGUAUUAAUGUGCCUACAAAUGAUUUGAAUUUGAAAUUUGGAAAAGAAAAACAAGUUUCAUCAAUGCCACAAGAUGUGAGAGAUUCAGAGAAGAUGCCUAGAAUUUCAGGUUUUGGCACAUUACUUAAGACUCAGUCAGAUGCGAUAAUAACACAGCAGCUUGUAAAAGACAAACUACGAGCCACCACACAAAAUUUAGGUUCUUUUUAUAUGCAGAGUCCACUUUUAAAUUCAGAACAAAAAAAAACUAUAAUUGUUCAGACUUCAAAAGGAUUCUUAAUACCAUUGAACAUUACUAACAAGCCUGGGCUACCGGUUAUUCCUGGAAAUGCACUUCCAUUGGUUAAUUCACAAGGUAUCCCUGCUUCUCUUUUUGUAAACAAGAAACCUGGGAUGAUUUUAACACUUAAUAAUGGGAAACUUGAAGGUGUUUCCGCUGUCAAAACCGAGGGUGCCCAAGCUCGUGGAACUAUGACUAAGGAGCCUUGCAAAACACCUAUUUUGAAGGUAGAACCAAACAGUAAUUGUCUUACACCUGGACUUUGUUCCAGCAUUGGCAGUUGUUUGAGCAUGAAAAGUAGCUCAGAAAAUACUUUGCCAUUAAAAGGCCCUUACAUUUUGAAACCAACGAGUUCUGUGAAAGCUGUUCUUAUUCCUAACAUGCUAUCUGAGCAACAGAGCACUAAGUUGAAUAUCUCCGAUUCAGUAAAACAGCAGAAUGAGAUUUUUCCAAAACCACCUCUUUAUACCUUCUUGCCUGAUGGCAAACAAGCUGUUUUUUUAAAGUGUGUGAUGCCAAAUAAAACUGAGCUGCUUAAGCCCAAAUUAGUCCAAAAUAGUACUUAUCAAAAUAUACAGCCAAAGAAACCUGAAGGAACACCACAAAGAAUAUUGCUGAAAAUUUUUAACCCUGUUUUAAAUGUGACUGCUGCUAAUAAUCUGUCAGUAAGCAACUCUGCAUCCUCAUUGCAAAAAGACAACGUACCAUCUAAUCAGAUUAUAGGAGGAGAGCAGAAAGAGCCAGAAUCUUCUAGAGAUGCCUUACCCUUCUUACUAGAUGACUUAAUGCCAGCAAAUGAAAUUGUGAUAACUUCUACUGCAACAUGCCCAGAAUCUUCUGAGGAACCAAUAUGUGUCAGUGACUGUUCAGAGUCCAGGGUAUUAAGGUGUAAAACAAAUUGUACAGUUGAGAGGAACUUCAAUAGAAAAAAGACUUCCAAAAAAAUUUUUUCAAAAACAAAAACUCAUGGAAGUAAAGACUCUGAAACUGCCUUUGUAUCUAGAAACAGAAACUGUAAACGAAAGUGUAGGGAUAGUUACCAAGAACCUCCAAGAAGAAAAGCAACAUUGCAUAGAAAGUGUAAAGAAAAGGCAAAACCUGAAGAUGUCCAUGAAACAUUUGGAUUUAGCAGACCUAGGCUUUCAAAAGAUUCCAUCAGAACUUUGCGGCUUUUCCCUUUUAGUUCUAAACAGCUUGUGAAAUGUCCUAGGAGAAACCAACCAGUUGUAGUUUUGAAUCAUCCUGACGCAGAUGCACCAGAAGUAGUAAGUGUAAUGAAAACUAUUGCUAAAUUUAAUGGACAUGUACUUAAGGUUUCAUUGUCGAAAAGAACUAUAAAUGCUUUACUGAAACCGGUUUGUUAUAACCCUCCUAAAACAACUUAUGAUGAUUUUUCCAAGAGGCACAAAACAUUUAAACCUGUUAGUUCUGUGAAAGAAAGAUUUGUGCUAAAAUUAACACUCAAAAAGACAAGCAAAAACAAUUACCAGAUUGUGAAGACUACCUCUGAAAAUAUUUUGAAGGCUAAAUUUAACUGUUGGUUUUGUGGUAGAGUAUUUGACAAUCAGGAUACUUGGGCUGGUCAUGGGCAGAGACAUUUAAUGGAAGCUACUCGGGAUUGGAACAUGUUAGAAUAGUUUACCAUAAUUACCAAGGAAAAGAAAAGUAAAAUUACCUUAGAAGAAAACAACGGGUUGAAUUACCAUAAUGCAGACAUUUUCUACUUCAGUAUAAUACCUGAAAUUGAACAUUUUAAAAGUUGAUUAUAUUUCUGUGGAAGAGUAAAAGUUGUAUGUAUGAUAUUUGAAAAUGGUAUCCCUGCACUCAAAAGUUUUGAAAGAAACUAAUCACAGCACAGAAGUACCUUGAUUUAAUUUUUUAAACAUGUGUUCUUGGGAAGUUAGGGCUAAAGAAAAUUUUGAUAAAACAAUUUUCCCACUUUAGUUCUUUAGUGACUCUUAGUAGAGGGUAAUGGCUGACACCCCCAUUCCCUCUCUUCUUCCACCAGCCUUACGCAUCUAAGUGUAGCUCCUCUGGAGAUGGAGAGCUCUUUCAUCAUAGAACUGAAGGAGUUUCUCACAUUUGUGAAGAUACUUUGAGAGAGCUUGGGUAAAGAAGUCACUCUAUGUCUGCUAAAUAUAGUUAUUUUGAAGGAUAUUAGGCUCCUUGAAAUUACAUUUAACUCACUACAGUUACACCUCAUACAAUGCUUGAAGAGUUCUUGGCAAGUAAAUUUUUUUUCCAGUUGAACUCUGUCACUUGUUAGAGAUUGGGAAUACUCUCCCAAGGUGAUUUUCUUUUUCUAAAUGACUAUGUCAAAUGUUGCAGUAGAUGGGCAGCUUCAAGAGAAGAAUUUAAACUCUUUGUCUCAUUGAAAGUUUGGUUAAAGAAAUUGAACAUAGUUCUGAAUUUGAUUAUAUUCUCUGAUGAUCCCCUUGCACAGAACUAUGCUUAUCUCAUUUGUCCUCCAUAAACAAAUGGCCAUUUUUUUCUUCUUGGUUCCCAUCCGUUUAAAAAGAAUGGAACAUAGGAGCACUUCCAAGGGAGUGGCUUUUCUUGAAAGUUAAAAUUUUUUACCAAAACAGUAUUUUGAAGCAAGAUCAUAUUUUUGUCUGUAUUCACUUUAUUAUUUGAACAUGUCCAAAUUAGGACAAAGCAUUUCUGUUAGCUGCUUCUCAGUGUGACUGACAACCCAAAACAUACACAGAUUGUUGGCAUUUGAAAAAGGAAGCAUCAAUAGUGGACCCAGAGGCAGUGCAUAAAACCUUAGGAUAGAUUCCUAAGGGACACGCCCAACAGAGUUUUAAAAUGGAUGUUUUCAUGAUGACAACAGAAUCAUAGAUUUAGAUUUUUCACCUUGUAAGUUUGGAUCAAAUUUUGCUGGAUCUUUGGAUAAUGGAGUUCUUGUGUUAAAAAAUUACGUGCUAUAUGAUUUUUUGUUACAUUGUUACAAGUGUUAAUGACAUUUUCAUUAAUGGAUGAAAACUUCAGGGCUUCUUUUCUGUAUAUAACAAAUUAAGUCUGUACAUAUUUUUGUACCUUUUAUGUAAAUUUUGCACAGACAUUUUUGGCAUAAGUUUAUUUUCUUUCAGUUUAGUUCAGUGCAUGCACUAAUAAAACUGGUUGUUUAAUUUAAAAGGAAUAUAUAAGACUUUACCCAUGUUAUUUUUUUGGUUUUUAUUUCAGAUGUAGAUUUUGUUUUUGAGGUAAAUUCGUUCUUCAGGGAUUGAACACUAUUGUUAGCAAGUGCCUAAAAAAGAUGUGAAACAGUUUACAUAUGUCAACUGUAACAGUAGGUCCCAAAUGGGCCCAUUCCCCUAAUAGUUUUAUUUUAAAGAAAGCCAUACAUAGAAUGCUUCAAGCUAUCUUGCUAUGCACAUUAUACUUGUACUGUUUUGUGCAGUUUGUCUACUUUCUUAGUGAAGUAUUUUUUGUAUAAAAUGUUACAAUUGUGUUUCUUAAAUUGAGCCUAAGAAUGGAGUUAAUUGGAAAUAUACAGUAUAUAUUAAUAAUGUAUAUGGUGUUUAAAGAAUGGUAAGCAUUGUUAAUUUCUGUAAUGAACAUUUUCAAUUAAAUUUAUCUUAAGUUUGUGUUUACACAAGAAUUUUUUUACUGUGCUAAAAUCUAAUGGAAAUUUUGUUCUUUAGGAAAUACAGAUUUUAAAGUGAUGUGUUUUUUCAAUGCUAGUUAACUAUACAAGAUAGAUAAAGUGUGGGAUUUUUUUUCUUCCCAUAAUCAUAGAUGAUAUAUUGUUUAAGAAAGGUAACAUAUACCAUAAUUUUACUAUCAUUAUGCUGGCAAGGUAAGCCAUAGAGAGGCUUAUAGACUUCAGUAUCCUAACAGCAAUAAAAUUAAAAUGCCCUGUUUGUCACAUAUAGAUCUGUUAUGAGGCAUCACCUGCUGUAAAUAGCAAGGAGAGAGAGGGAACUUUCCUGCUAAUAUUUGCAGCACUAUAAAAUUACAUUUCAGAAUAGCCAUUUCAGGAAAAUGUCGAGAUACGUACUUCUUGCCUUAAAGUUUUAACAGCCAUUUAAAGUAAGCUUUGUGCUCCAGAUAUUCUAGUUGGAACUUUUUCUGAUUUUGUUAACUUAGGUUAUUCUGAGGGAGGCAAACCUGCUUAGAGCUUCAUUAUUGCCAUUGCAGAAAAUUCAGAACAAAAGCCUGUAUCCUUUAUUUUUUUGUGUGGCUUUCCAAAGAGGGCUUUCCAAAAUAUGAUAUUCAGUAGUUCGAGGUUCUUAUUACAAUUGAAGAGUUAGUUUUAGUUUUGCAGUUGAAUUUCUGGGUGAGGAAUUUGUUUUAUUUUUUCCAGUCCAUCUCCACUGAAAUGGGUUUCUCACUAUUUGGCAAGUACUUAAAAAACAUAAUUCACUUUUCAAAGAAUUUAUCUUGCUAAGUAUUCAGUAACACAAAUUGAAAUGUAAUAGUUUUUUUAAUGGAAAAUAUUUUCAUUGAGGGGUUAGCAAAUUUUUUCAAUAAAGGGUCAGAUAAAUAAGCUUCGUAGGCCUUCUAGUUUCUGUCCUAACUACUCAAUUCUCAUAAUGCAGAAAAAACCAUAGACAAUAUAUAAAUGAAUUAGUGUGGCUAUGUUUUAAUAAAACAAUUUACAAAAACA
rnacentral:sRNA from 1 species